AAACGAAAGCGAAAGUAUGAAAUCCAGAAUCUCGGUAGCCCUUAGUAAAUGUUAACGCUAUUAAGCCACACAUUUUAGGGCACGGUAUAGUUUACAUUUCGUGUUUACGUCUUUUGUUCUCUUAAUUGAAACAAUGCGACGGAGAUGGCAUAGUACCGAAGCUCAAGAGGAUGAAUCAAGAUUCUGUAAGUGAACUUUAGUUAGUGCAUGAGAUCAUUUUUACACAUGCUACUGUGUCUGGCAUUUUGUUUUUGUCUUCAACGCAGUGUUACUAUAUGUCACAAAUCUACAUAAAAUAGGCCAUAGUAUAGAAGUGUGAGGGGAAUCAAUAUAGUUUAUAUAGUUGCAAUGUCAAAUUAUUUACAAACUAAAAAUAUAUAGAAGUUAACAAGCAUAGGUCAUAGUGUAAAUAGAAAAAUAGCCUUUAUUUGUCACAUAUACAUUACAGCACAGUGAGAUUCUUUUUUCACAUAUCCCAGCCUUGGAGGUUGGGGUCAGAGCGCAGGGUCAGCCAUGAUACAGCGCCCCUGGAGCAGAAAGGGUUAAGGGCCUUGCUCAAGGGCCCAACAGUGGCAACUGCUGUGCUUGGCAGUGCUGAGGCUUGAACCUUAACCACUUGAGCUACCACCGCACUGCCCGUGAUUGCACAAUAUCUAGAAAAAUGGCCAAAUGAUAUAUCAGCUCAUAUCUGCCAAAUAGCAAGAUUUUUAUAACCAGUUGGUCAACCAAAAGAAAAUUAGUGGCUGGAUUUAAAAGCUAUUGAUUUGUGAAAAAGAAAGAAUUGCUUAUCUAUAACAAACUAUUACAAUAUGGCUUAAAUCUAUAACACAAAAUAAGAGUUUUGUGGGAUAAAGUACUUUUUUUCAGGUUACAUCAUUUUGUUAGACAGAAAAUGGCUGCAUGAUGUCAUCCACCCAUAUAUCAUUUUACAACUAAUGUUUAAAGCUAAAUAUACAAUAAGUACACAUACUGUAAACCAUAGGUCACUAACAGGCGGACCGCGGUCCGGAUGCGGACCCAGAAGCCGCCCCAUACGGACCCGGACCUACAGCCAAAAGAGAAGGUUAUGAUUUAAAACCUAACGGGGCGCUUCUAUUUCCACCGGCGCAGCUUUUGUAAACUUUACGGUAGUGGUAGUGGAAACGCACAGACCAAUUGCAUGCUAGUUGAGCCAUGCCACGUGAUACCACUCAGCCAAUCAAGUCUGUGCAUUCCAGGCGGUAAACAUUACGACUCUACAGUGUAAACAGAGCUGGAGGCAAGUUACACAUGAAAAGACGGUAGAAAGAGAAAGAAAGAUAGCGUUACAUGUAGAAAACAAAGGGAGAGAAACAGACGAGUGAGACGGAGAAAGAGAGAGAAACAGACGAGUGAGACGGAGAAAGAGAGAGAAACAGACGAGUGAGACGGAGAAAGAGAGAGAAACAGACGAGUGAGACGGAGAAAGAGAGAGAAACAGACGAGUGAGACGGAGAAAGGGAGAGAAACAGACGAGUGAGACGGAGAAAGAGAGAGAAACAGACGAGUGAGACGGAGAAAGAGAGAGAAAAAUAAGGAACAAAUGGCGCCCUCCAAAAAAAAGAAAAGUGGACAGCGAAAAUAGAGCAUUUAACCGGGAAUGGACUCGUUUCUGUUCAUACUUCCCACUGGAGCACUAAACCAGUGUGUCUCAUAUGUUCAGAAACCGUGGCACUUAUUAAAAGAGCCAAUGUGAAACGCCAUUAUGAGACAAAACAUAAAGGUUAUGAACAAACAUACCCACUCAGAUCUGAAGUGAGAUCACAGAAAAUAAGUAGUCUCAGAGUCCCAAUAUGACCAGUCCACCAGGAUCCUGAGCCACACAUUCACUGCCCAACAACGUGCUCUUCAGUGUUCCCUCAGAGUUGCUUGGAUUUUGGGUCAACACAAAAAGCCAUUUACUGAUGGAGGGGUUGUCAAAGAAUGCAUGAGUGCAGUAGCUGAAACAAUACUUGAGGGAAAACAAAAAGAAGAGCUUUGCGAUAAAAUAAAGCAAAUUCCCAUGUCAGCAUCAUCUGCCACAAAGAAAAGUGAAAUAUUAGCUCAAGCUGUGCUAACCCAGCUAGAUGAAGCUGUGCAUAAGGCAUCAUGUGUAGGUUUAGCUGUGGAUGAGUCCACUGACGUGUGUGACAAAGCACAGCUGUUAGUGUACGUCAGGUUUUUCAACACAGACCAGAAAGCAUUCUGUGAAGACCUGUUAGGUGUCACUCCCCUUCAGACCAGUACAAGAGGAGAAGACAUCUACCUGGCCAUUAAGGAGAUGUUAACAAAGAGAGGAAUAAAGCCAAAACAAGUAGUUUCACUAACCACAGAUGGAGCCCCUGCUAUGAUAGGAAGAGAGAAAGGAGCUGUAGCAAGACUGAAAGAGGACAAUCCUGAGCUCAUAGCUUACCACUGCAUCAUUCAUCAAUCUGUGCUCUGUGCCUCCCUGUCAGAUGAGCAUGCUGAGGUGAUGAAUACAAUGAUGAAAAUGAUCAGUUUUCUCAGGGCAUCCUCUUCCUAUCAGCAUCGCAUGCUUAGGGAAUUCCUCGAAGAAGUUGAUGCCAAUGCUGAUGAUCUUUUGCUGCACAACAGUGUGAGAUGGCUCAGCAAAGGCAGGGUAUUAGCAUGCUUUUGGUCCAUCAGGAGGGAAGUAGCAUCUUUUUUGACAGGGCUAAUAAGUCAGAAAGCAACACAGUUUUCUCUCUUUUUAGAAAAUGAGAAAGAGAUGGAUAAUGUGGCCUUUUUGGUUGAUAUCACUUCACAUCUGAAUGAACUGAAUUUGAGGCUACAGGGCAAAGACAAUUCAGUUUGUGAACGGAUGACAGCUGUCCGCUCCUUUCAGAGGAAACUCGAGGUGUUCAAGGAAGACCCGCAGGGAGACUGUGCACACUUCCCAGCAGUGCAGGAACAGGUUCAGGGACAGAGAGAUGUGUCUUCUUUCGUUGACUUUAUUGAUAAGCUGAUAGUAAACUUCAGCAACCGUUUUGACAGCUUCAGCUUUGGACAGCAGCUCACCAUGUUCAUUCAGAACCCUUUUCUCAUCACAGAUGUCAGGGGGUUCUCAAAGGAAGUCACACAGCACUUUAAAUGGGUAAAUGCUGGGCCUCUCCAGAUGCAAUUGGUUGAUCUCCAAGCAGAUGUGGCCCUGAAAGAGCAGUUUGUAAGAACUGACCCUUCCACUUUCUGGCUCCAAAUGGUCCCUCAGACAGCUUUCCCAGGUCUGGGCCAAAGUAGCCCUAUACAUCCUGACCAUGUUUGGCUCUACAUACAACUGCCAGGCAGCUUUCUCCACAAUGAACAUAAUCAAAACUAAAUAUCGUUCCAGGCUCACCAGUGAGCACCUCCACAUGUGUAUGAGAACUGCCCUGACUCCAUUCAAGCCCAGGUUUAAAAUCCUGGCAAGACAAGCUAGAGCUCACUGAGUAAAAAGGUGGGGGAGUGGGAUAUAAGAGGGGAAGAAAGUGAUACUCUAAAACUGUUCAAUUGUUAAGAUGUGCUAAGAUUUAUUAUUUGUAAAAUUGGUUGAGACUUUUGAGUCAAGAUGUAAAACAGAAAAGGGGAAACUCAAGCUUUUCCUCCCUUUAUUUUAUUCUUCUGAAGUUAAGCACUUUAUUUGAACAUACACAAUUUUCACAUUUUAUUUAUUUUCUCUUAUUAUGAAAUGCAGCCCUACUUUUAUUUAGUUAAUGAGAGAACAUUAUACAUAUCUACAGUCAUACAUAUAUGUUCAGUUGUAUGUUACAUGACAAUAAAUAUUGUCAGAAAGUUUUUGAAUUGUACUGAAUUCAUUUGAUUUGACAGUCAGGUAUUGAUUACAUGCAGAUGUUGAUAAAACUACUAGGCUACAUAAAUAUAUAUCACACUAACUAGUUAGACAUUAUGAUCUUCCAGACCUUUGCUUCAAGGAAUUUUCUCUAACUGGACCUCUUUAAAUUUUAGUUGAAUACCCCUGAAGAGAACCUGUUACUUCUGUCUGGUCAACCUCAGCUAGUUUGAUCACCUAAUUUCUUUGGUCUUCUUGAGUAAAAUCUUGUUGUUUUUGAAGUUGACGCAGAUUAUCUGCAGUUGUUGUGUAUAAUAUUUUUGUUGAUUUAUUUGUAUUUUCCCAUUGAGAGAUCCAUAGAGUUGGAAGAACAAUUUGCUCCGUUCUGCAAAAUAACAAAAUCCUGAACAUUGUAUUGCAGUGCAAUUGUAACACUCCAACACGUGCCUUUUUUUAGCAGGUGAAUCAUCCUUAUCUGAAGUUAGACUUUCAACAGACCUCAGCCAGCAGUGCAGAUUUAUACUGCUCGGAGGGGAUGAAACUGCAAAGAAUGAUGCAUGUCACUUCAUACUUAGGACUCCACAGUCCCAGCAGUUCCAACGGUCAAAUCCUCAUAGUUGUGAGAAGAAGGAGAACUGUGUUCAAGGAAGACACGUCUGUGUGGUAAAAACUCCGUCUUAUUGGUUGGAACACUUGAGUACUUGCUGGUUUAUUUCCAGUGGAGUCAAAACAAUCCAAAACGAAAUGAAGCACUGUAUAUCUCUGGUGUUCCCUGGACCUCAUGCCUUUCUUUUAGUAGUCCGAGCUGGACAUGACGUACAAACAGAGCGUUACCUUUUACAGGCAAUUCGUUCAGUAUUUGGCAGCGAGGCUGAAAACUUCAGUAUGCUGCUGUUCGUUAAAAGACCUGAGGAAAGAAAUUCGCAAUAUAACAUGAGCCCAUCUGUUUUAAAUUUUGGUCAGUAUCACCUCUUAGAGAACACUGAUGAGAGUGCUCAAGUACUGUUCAGGAAAGUCGAGAAGAUGAUAAGUCAAAAAAGCAGCAAGUUUUUUAUUCCAUCAGCAUAUGAACACUUUAUGAAGAUUAAUUUUGAACAAUGGGAAAAAGAAAGAAUUGACCUGUUGUCUGAGUCCAGUGACAAGGUAAAUGAGCUAAGUAAGGAACUAGAAGAAAUGAAAAGAAUGCAGGACAGACAGCAAGAGGCUGACCAUGCUACUGGAAUCAAUCUGAUAGACUGGGGGAGCAAUGACUUUGUACAUCCAGACUUAUAAAUGGACACAAAAGCCUGAAGGAGAACUGUUAAUGAUCCCAUGAGAAACAACAGAAGAAGGACACAGAUUUAUGCCCAAUACGGCACAUCCUGACGUGAAAAAAACAUGUUAUAACAUUUCUAUGAUCUGGAUAUCAAAUGAUUUUAUUUGCAAUUAGGAUCAUGGCAAUAGUUUUACAUUUUCUUAAUUUUUCUGGAAACUGUUUCAGUGGUUUAUAGAAAUGUAGCAUGAUUUAUUACUUAAGCGUGCCUUUAUUAUUUAAUCAGUAAUUAUUGAGGAUGCAUUUAUCUGUGCAUGCUUUCACUGAUUUAUUUUACAUAUAUACAGUAGUUGCACUGUUGAAUAUAAAAGAGAUAUGCUGUCAGUAUAGUUAUUCUUAUAACUUCUUUUCAGUUGUCAGUACUGUGGUACCUCUGGUUCAUGGUUUAUCACUCUCUAAGUGGUGCCAUUUACAUCCUAGACAACUUUUUGCUAAGUCAUGCAUUUGUCUGUAUAAUCACAUUUCCUGACUGUUUCAUGCUCCAGAGCCGAGCUGGAAAUUCCGAUACUACUGAAGAGAGAUUAUGGUUUUCUUUAAAUCCUCCUAGAUUAAAGAAGAGGGUGAAAUUACUGGCAUCUCAUAUUAGUGUGUAAUAAAAUUUAUAUGUAAUAAUGUAUUGCUAUCAACAAAUGACAUUCUUUAUUAAUACAGUUUUUAUGAUUCAGUCCAUUGACACACUGUAAAUUGUUGAGUUUUGUCUUAAUUAGUGUAAUUCACAUAUUCAGUAAUAAAUGUGUGUUUAAUUGUGGCUACUUCAUGUUGAAGUAACUCACGCAUUCCACACAUUUUAACCCUCUAAAUCUCAGAAAUAUGGAAUGGUCACACAUUUGCCCUAUGUGUUGUAUUUAACACUCUGUACCCCAACUCUAAAACAUCAGGAUCAUUUCUUUUCAGUGUAUAAUUCUUUUUUUAAGGUCAGGGUUGACUUGCAUGUUUUUUGCUAGCACAAAUUAAUAACAUAUUUUAUUUCUGAUUUUAGUUCCCUGUCUGUCUUCAUGCUAAAGGGUGACAAAAGCACAUGUAGCUCUGGCUUCAGAGGUUUUGGAGACUAGUUAGGUAUUAAUCUCAACCAGUUAUUUAGGACACUGUACCAGCUUGACCAUUGAUCUAAGGGUCAUUUAGUCAUUGUUAUACUUUUUACACCUCGGAUUCUCCCAUUCCAAACAUUUUAACCAUCUAAAUCUCAGAAAUAUGGAAUGGUCUGUAAGGUUAUUUCCAUCAUUUUAAUAAGAUGUAAAGUCUUACAGUCCCUUCAAAGCCUGCAAUACUUCUCAUUAAUCCUACUUGCACUUCUUUUCUUAGAAAGAGAAAGUCAUUGACUUCCCAAAACUAUGACUGCUUGGUUAGUGAUUCUACCAUGAAACUAAGAUUUGCCCAGCGGUUCUGGUUACCUAAUACAACAGCGUCCACACGCUACUUCAGUCAGAUAUCGUUUUUCCCAUCAAGCGGUGAUGAGAUCUUUUUAACCGUCAUGAAUCCCCUGCUCAAAGUUUGUUGUGGGUAUCGAACAUAGUGAAAGUGUGACUGAAAGCAUCCAUCGCUUUGAGUUUCUCUCGUCGAAUCCAGGGAAGGAACGACGCUCAUGUGAAAAAAAUUUCCACUGAUACUCCAUAAGAAAGUUCUCACCUAUACAGUUCCUCAAAAGUCAGUGUGAGAAAUCCCAUCAGAUUCAUACCGCUUGUAGAUGAGACUAGACUCAACCUUUAGGAUAUGAAUUCAAAACUAUUAAAAGUUGAGGAUUCAUACUUUUAUACUGAUAAUGAUCCGGACCGGAAAAGCCCACAUGUGUGUCCCGAUCCGUUACACGAAUGACAGAAAUCCAGAUUAACGACAGUAACUGUGGAGUACUGAAAUUAGCUGGUUAUCUUGGCACCAUCUCUCUAGUUACGGUCAAAAAAAAAAGCCCCUGGGGUUGUUCACAGUCAUUUACAAAAUUGGUCUGAGCAUGUCACAUGAAAACCACAGAGGAUCUACAGUGCAUGAACACAGAAAUUGCAGAAAUUCACGUGUGACGGAUGAAAAUUUGGCUUUUUCGAGACUGUGAAACUGACAAAAGGGUGUGAACCAUUCAGCUUAGGAUAUUCAUCGUAUCUAACAUUUGAACAAAGAUACCUACACAGGAAAAUCCCCGGGUGUUGCAAUAUCACCUGCUGGGUUAACUCUAGGUGUUAAUUCAUCAGUGCAGAAUUUACUCGUGUGGUUAUGGGUUUCUGUAGGAAGACACAAAAAAACAAGGUUCUUGGCUUCACUUUAGCUAGACAAAGAAGUGUCAGUACUCUGCUGUGAGAUUUCCACCGAGAGUUAGAUGAUAUCUAGCUUUCGAAAAUAUCUCACUGUCUGUUAUAAGCUGUUAUAAAGCGUGUGUGCUGUAGAAUGAAAUGCUAUUAUCAUGCAGCUUGGGUACAUAGAUAGCUUGGUUAUAGAAAGAUGACAAUAUCAGUUAUUUAUGUGUUAUAGAGUGUUUAAUAAGAAUUACAAUUGAAAUUAAAAAAGGGGCUUUCAUUACUUACAGACUUAUUAUGUCAUCUAUGUCUCAGAGAGUGUGAGGAUUUUUACAAAAAAUUGAGAGGCGGCUUCUUUUACAUCUUUUACAUUACAUUAGAGUGUAAAUAAUAAAUAUUGGUCAUAAAGGAACUGUCAUCAAGCAGGUAUCAGGUAGCUUCUUUUACUUUAGAACAUCUUUAUUACUGUUAUCGUAUCAUCUUUUUUUAAGGUGGCUUGCUUUAUUCAUAGAUAAAGGCUAUAGAUGUCAAAUAAAUGUCACAAUUCUUCCAACAUAGAGUAUUAAAAUCUGUUAAAAAUAAUAGGCUUAUUUUACUUUUGCUAUUGAAGAAGGUCAUUGUUAUGAUGUCAUAAAUCUGCCAUAGUGUUUUUUUACAUAGAUAAAAAAUGUCAAAAAGGGGCCUUCCUUAACUUUAGCUGUAGAAGUAAUCUCAUUAAUGUGUCACUUUUUUGUUUAAUACGGGGCUUUACUUUUAGCCGUCGAACAAAAGUGUCUCUCCUAACACAUAGUGUAGCGUGCAGAUGAUUCAAAAUACCAUGCCAGUAACACUGGGGGAAUUUACAUCUUUAUUAAAACGGAUCUGUUAUUUGAUUUCCCAUCCUGCGAGGGUUGCCACUGUGAUAUAUUUGAUGUUAGAAAUUGGGACUGUCUUAAAAUAUUUCACCCAAGCGGCUACGCCUCCGACCUCAGUACCCGCCACUGGAAAUGGCAUCAUCCUGUGCUGUGGUUCUCAUUUCCAGUUCUUCAGAUGCCAUGCCACACACACAGGCCGUGGUUUCAUUAAUCCAACAAACCUGAUUUGACAUUUUUCAUAUUCCGAUGAAGAGAUCGAAAGUUCUGGCCACACAAGAUCCAUGGAAAAUCCAGACCGCAGACACACACACACACAUACACAU